rfam:Pseudomonas sp. HPB0071 genomic scaffold aczIi-supercont1.1, whole genome shotgun sequence.
CACUCUCUGGUGUGUUUGCCAGUCGGUCAUGUCCCUGAGCCGAUAAGCAACACCACGGGGGUCGCUCGCUGGGCUUGUGUGCAUGUCCGCACGCCGGAAAGCCUAAUGGCCCACGACUUCUCCCACCUUGAACUCUCGGGUUCAAGGGCUACACCGGCAGCGGCAUUCCGGGGAGCUA